UACAGAGGUCCCAAGCGUUGUUCGGAUUCAUUGGGCGUAAAGGGUGCGUAGGUGGCGCCGUAAGUGGGGUGUGAAAUUUCGGAGCUUAACUCCGAAACUGCAUUCCAUACUGCGGUGCUUGAGGACUGGGAGAGGAGACUGGAAUUUACGGUGUAGCAGUGAAAUGCGUAGAGAUCGUAAGGAAGACCAGUGGCGAAGGCGGG
rnacentral:rRNA from 1 species